rnacentral:rRNA from 1 species
GACGAACGCUAGCGAUAGGCUUAACACAUGCAAGUCGAGGGGCAGCAUUAUUUUAGCUUGCUAAGAUAGAUGGCGACCGGCGCACGGGUGCGUAACGCGUAUGCAACCUGCCUGUAAUUAGGGAAUAACCCGGUGAAAGUCGGACUAAUACCCUAUAUUCUUCUUUCUCCGCAUGGAGGAGGACGGAAAGAUUUAUUGAUUACAGAUGGGCAUGCGUCCCAUUAGCUAGUUGGUAAGGUAACGGCUUACCAAGGCAACGAUGGGUAGGGGGACUGAGAGGUUGACCCCCCACACUGGUACUGAGACACGGACCAGACUCCUACGGGAGGCAGCAGUGAGGAAUAUUGGUCAAUGGGCGAGAGCCUGAACCAGCCAAGUCGCGUGAAGGAAGACAGUCCUAAGGAUUGUAAACUUCUUUUAUACGGGAAUAACGGGCGAUACGAGUAUUGCAUUGAAUGUACCGUAAGAAUAAGCAUCGGCUAACUCCGUGCCAGCAGCCGCGGUAAUACGGAGGAUGCGAGCGUUAUCCGGAUUUAUUGGGUUUAAAGGGUGCGUAGGUUGUUCGGUAAGUCAGCGGUGAAACCUGAGCGCUCAACGUUCAGCCUGCCGUUGAAACUGCCGGGCUUGAGUUCAGUGGCGGCAGGCGGAAUUCGUGGUGUAGCGGUGAAAUGCAUAGAUAUCACGAGGAACUCCGAUUGCGAAGGCAGCUUGCCAUACUGCGACUGACACUGAAGCACGAAGGCGUGGGUAUCAAACAGG